rnacentral:rRNA from 1 species
AUUGAACGCUGGCGGCAGGCCUAACACAUGCAAGUCGAGCGGGAACUUCGGUUCUAGCGGCGGACGGGUGAGUAAUGCGUAGGAAGCUACCCGACAGAGGGGGAUACCAGUUGGAAACGACUGUUAAUACCGCAUAAUGUCUACGGACCAAAGUGUGGGACCCUCGGGCCACAUGCUGUCGGAUGCGCCUACGUGGGAUUAGCUAGUUGGUGAGGUAAUGGCUCACCAAGGCGACGAUACCUAGCUGGUUUGAGAGGAUGAUCAGCCACACUGGAACUGAGACACGGGCCAGACUCCUACGGGAGGCAGCAGUGGGGAAUAUUGGACAAGGGGCGCAAGCCUGAUCCAGCCAUGCCGCGUGUGUGAAGAAGGCCUUCGGGUUGUAAAGCACUUUCAGUAGGGAGGAAGAGUUGAGUGUUAAUAGUACUCAGCUUUGACGUUACCUACAGAAGAAGCACCGGCUAACUCUGUGCCAGCCGCCGCGGUAACAC